GGUCUAAUGGCCAAAUUGGAUAAGGCACCUGACUACGGAUCAGGAGAUUGCAGGUUCGAGUCCUGCUUGGAUCG
rnacentral:tRNA from 1 species